GGUGCUAUAGUGUAGUGGUUAUCACUCGGGAUUUUGAAGCUUUCUUACGUAAGCAAUAAAUUUCCCGAAACCCAGGUUCGAACCCUGGUAGCACCU